AUUGAACGCUGGCGGCAGGCUUAACACAUGCAAGUCGAACUAGUGGCGGACGGUUGAGUAAUGCUUGGGAAUCUGGCUUAUGGAGGGGGAUAACGACGGGAAACUGUCGCUAAUACCGCGUACCAUAGGAUGAGCCCAAGGGGGAUUAGGUAGUUGUGGGGGUAAUGGCCUACCAAGUCGACGAUCUCUAGCUGGUCUGAGAGGAUGACCGGCCACGACGGGACUGCGACACGGCCCGGCCUCCAACGGGUGGCAGCAGUGGGGAAUAUGGCGCAUGGGGGGCAACCUGACGCGGCCAUGCCGCGGGAAUGAAGAAGGCCUGCAGGUUAUAAAGUUCUUUCGGGGACGAGAAGUUGAUCACAGAAGAAGCACCGGCUAUAUCCGUGCCAGCAGCCGCGGGAAGAC
rnacentral:rRNA from 1 species